UCUCCCGUGAGGGAGCAGUCUCGCCUGACCAUAUAGGCAACAGGCAACGGGGGUUGCGUUCGUUACCCCACUGAAGGGAACAGUUCAAACCACGAACUGACGACGACCAUGCAUCACCUGUCCAGCACCCUCGAAGGCCUCAUCCCUUUCGGGUUGAGUGCAGCUGGAUUUCUAACCUUGGUAAGGUUCUUCGUUUGCUUACGAAUUGAGCCACAUAAUCCACUGCUUGUGCGAGUCCCCGUCUAUUCCUUUGAGUUUUAAUCUUGCGAUCGUACUACCCAGGCGGCUCGCUUACCGCGUUAGCUUAGUCUCACAGAGGGUCGAUACUCCGUAAAACGAGCGAGCAACGUUGAGGGCCAGGACUA
rnacentral:misc_RNA from 1 species